rnacentral:lncRNA from 1 species
UUACACUGCACGCACAUUAAAAUAUUUUCAGUUCAAUCCUGGAUGAAUCAAAACUUAGAGAAUAUCUUAAAUACAAUUAAUGUUUGAAGAAUAAACUAUUAUGGUUUUACUUAAAUUUCAUCUAUGUAAUGCAUGCAAUGAAUAAUCAGACAUUAGUAAAUCAUUAUAAUAUAAUUGGAAUUCAUUGAAUUGCAUAUGCUUCCAAACAAUUAGAAAA